CACGUAGGGCGCAAGCGUUGUCCGGAAUUAUUGGGCGUAAAGAGCUCGUAGGCGGUCUGUUGCGUCAGCUGUGAAAACUCGGGGCUUAACCCCGAGCCUGCAGUGGAUACGGGCAGACUAGAGGUAGGUAGGGGAGAAUGGAAUUCCCGGUGUAGCGGUGAAAUGCGCAGAUAUCGGGAGGAACACCGGUGGCGAAGGCGGUUCUCUGGGCCGAAACUGACGCUGAGGAGCGAAAGCGUGGGGAGCGAACAGG
rnacentral:rRNA from 1 species